AGCAACUUCGUUGUGGCGUGGUAUUUGUUUGGUGUGUGGUUGUCGCCAUUGAUAAGAAAAUCUUCAAUUUUCUUGUGUUAAACACUUUGAUUACCUGAAAUAAAAAAUGAGUCGACGUAGUGCUAAUACAACGAAAGUUUUCGUUGGUCGUUUACCCGCGGCUGCGACUACUGAUGAUUUACGGCGUCUUUUUGCCCCCUAUGGUAAAAUUGUAGAGUGCGAUAUCGCCAAUAACUGCGGUUUCCUCCAUUUAGAGGAUAGAGAACUCGCAAUUAAGGCAAUACAAGAAUUGGAUAAUACUUCUUUACUUGGCGCCAGAAUAUCGGUUGAAAAGGGUAGGGUUAAACCCCCAAGAAAUCGGGGUCGUGACGGUGGGGGUCCCAUGAGAGGUGGCAGAGAUCGUGGCGGUCCUUAUUCUCGUGACGGUUAUGGAAGGGGACCACAAAGGAAUGGGGGUGGUGGAUAUAAUAGAGAUUAUCCACCAUACGAUGACAGGUAUGGAGGAAUGCCUUCAAGGGGUGGAUAUGGAUCUGAUUAUAGGGGAGGUGGUGACGGUCGCCCACCUUUUGAUGAUCGCAGAGGUUACAACAGAUCGUAUGGAGGACCCCCACCUAAUGGAUAUGGUGGUCCAGGCGGUUAUGAUGGCAACUAUGAUGAUAGAGGACCAAUGGGAGACAGGAGACCUCUUUUAGACCAACAAGGACCUAGAGGUGGAGGUGGUUAUGACAGAGGAUCUUCAAAUGAAAUGUUCAGUAGAAGAGAUGCAAAGUCUAGUGGUCCAUCGGGGGGCUAUGGAGAUCGAGGAGGAUAUGGUGGGCCUGGUGGAGGCUAUGGUAAUAACGGUGGUUAUAAUGCUCCUCCAGCUGCAGGCUAUGGACAAGUUGCUCCAGGGCCAGCAGGUGGUUAUGGAGGUGGUGGUUAUGGCGGCGGUCCCGCACCAGUUGCUGGAGGUUAUGGUGAUAAUAGAUCACCAAUGGGAGGUGGCUAUGGAGAAGCUAAGCCAGUAGCUCCUACAGGACAAGUAGGAUAUGGAGGGCCGGCGGGUGGUUUUGGUGUAGCGUCACCAGGGGGCUACGGGGCCGGAGGAGGUUCAGCAGGCUAUGGAGAUGGUUAUACAAGAUCAGGCAAUUAUGAAACCGCUUAUCCACUCCCCGCCCAAAGAAGGAACCGAUGAUGAAGAAUUGCUUCCUUCGGAGCGUAAAAAUGCCCACGAAUUUAGGGUUCAUUUGUUCUCCUUGAAUUCUCAUCAGCUCUUUAAGAAGGGCUCGUUGAGCUUCGUCGGUCCUUUCCAUCUCUAGUUGUUGAGCAAGACGUUGUCUCACGUUUUCACUACCAAUUUCUUCGGCCUUCUCUAUUGCUGCGUAUAUGGCUGUGCGGGCUUCAUCUUCUAAUAGACGGAGCUUAAAUGAACAAUCGACCUGGUUUUCAUCUACAAUUCCGCUGCAGAACCUGUUGUAGCGGUAUUUCAUCAGCCAGUGUGCUAAAUACUGAACGGGAUCUCUCGG
rnacentral:misc_RNA from 1 species